rnacentral:rRNA from 1 species
UACGUAGGUGGCAAGCGUUGUUCGGAAUUAUUGGGCGUAAAGGGCGCGUAGACGGUUAUUUAAGUCGGAUGUGAAAGCCCCGGGCUCAACCUGGGAAUUGCAUUCGAGACUGAAUAGCUAGGGUACGGUAGAGGGAAGCGGAAUUUCCGGUGUAGCGGUGAAAUGCGUAGAGAUCGGGAGGAAUACCGGUGGCGAAAGCGACUCUCUGGACGGCAACUGACGCUGAGGCACGAAAGCGUGGGGAGCAAACAGG